rfam:Triticum aestivum genome assembly, contig: Triticum_aestivum_CS42_TGACv1_scaffold_375602_5AL
UAAUUACUCCCUCCCUUCCAAAUUAGUUGACUCUGAUUUGUCUAGAUACGGAUAUAUCUAGACAUGUUUUAGUGUUAGAUACAUCCGUAUCUAGAUAAGUCCAAGUCAACUAAUUUGGAACGGAGGGAGUAUGUA